AGAGAUAUAUAAGAAAUACAACAAUGUAAUUGUUAGAACUUAGAAAUACACAUUAACAAUAACAAAGGAGCCUCAACAUAGGAAACAAAACACAUUUAAUCCUACGCAACACAAAACUAAAUGAAAUUAUAUUGAGUUCAAGCCUAAGACAGAGUUGGCAGUGUAUGAAAAUUGGGGAAGAAAAAGAGAAGAUUGUGUGUGUGAUUAGAAUAAUCUUCUAACUCAUAUUUAAUAGUUUUCCCGUGCAUAGAACGGGUUAGCGACUAAUAUACUAUAAAACUGAAACUUUUGACUUUUUGUUGACCUCUUCAUAUUAUGCCACAUAAGCUUUGGAGCCUCCACAAAUUUCCACAUCAUUUUAACGUUUUUAAUUUAUUUAAAUGUUUUGAGUAAAUAACACACAAAAGCUUUGAAAAACCCGAUUUUUUUCUGCCCAACUCCUCUUUACGCUCUUGGACAACUUCCAGACUUCAUAGCCACAAAUACUUCCAUAGAAUUAUCCAUAACCAAGAACUUCCACCAAUUGCUCAACCUCUGCGGUGAGAGAAGAAGCACUAAGCCGUACAAAUCACUACUAAGAGAGACUUGGAAAAGGUUUGUGGGAGACUCAAUGAUGUUGACCGAGUUAGGUGUGCGAUUGAAAGAACAAUGGAAGCUACAACAACGACCCACCUGCGAGUUCCUUCAAUUGAACAAUAAGAUCUGCGCAAUUCGGGCACUGCAAUCUACUGAAAUUUGUUGGGUUUGAUCAAGCACAUGGAGAAGACCAUCAAUUUUUGCUUGAUUAGAACAAUGUAAUCAAUGACACAUGAAAUAUGGGAGUGCUGAGAAGCGCUGGAAGUCUAGAGACCAACCAUGAUGUUUCCAUAGGAAGGAUAACUGGCGACCACAACCCAGCUAGUGUGGAGCUCAACCGCCCACCGGCAUUUUUAAUCACCGCUGUCUUGUCCUCUCUCUCCACUCUCUAGUCCACUAUCUAUCUUCUCCGGCAACAGUUUCAGCCCCCAACACCCUGAGGCAGAACAACCCCACUUGAAUGGCUGCCUUAGUCCCUCUGCUAAGUGAAUCCUACCACAGGCCCGGCUGUGGCAGAGGGUGUGCCUGCCUUUUCAGUUGUCAUUAUUGGCCUCACUAGGUCUAAUACGUGGAGAUGUUCUUCCUACACAGUAUAUACAUGGUCUUGCAGUAUGUAAAAUGUCCAUUUAGCACAUGGAGCAUAGACAAGAAGAGCUAAGAUUCGCUUAAUUUCCCAUCAUUUUUUCAUGAUGCAGAAAACAAACCUUCAAACUCCAACCUGAAUGGUGCCUACCACAGCCCCUCAGCCUUCCGCCAAGCCAAGUCUACCACCACCCCAGAGUCAAAAACUGAAGCCUCUGACCGUCUCCUUCAAACUCUCUCUCUUUCAAAUGCAUUCCCAUCUCCUUCUCCUUCUUCUUCAACUCUCUCAUCCAACGCAGCUCCCCAUCAUUUUCUAACCUCUCCAUCGUUGAAUUAUAGAAGGUACAAAGGUGCAUAAUUGACGGCAGGGGAUUUUCUCCCAUUCUUAGCAAUACCCGUAUCCUAACUCCUAAACAAGAGACAUGACUCUCAUGAAAAUGAAAUGCUGCAUCAUAAAGCAAACCUUAAUGGAUAUCUCGCCUACCACACCGGUCAAAAUCUUGACAGGACCCAUCAGGAUACUGACCGAGAUUUCUUCAUGAGUGCAAAAGAAGCCAAAGAAUAUGGGCUUAUAGAUGGUAUCAUUAUGAAUCCUCUCAAAGCUCUUCAGCCACUGGCAGCUAUGGCAGAGGCCGAGACUAAAGUUGAGUCUGGUGUGUAAAUUUCUCUUGGGUGACUUCUGUAGUGGAGGACAUGGCUUUAUAGAAGAGUUAAAUGAAGAAUGAUAUUUUCGGUGUGCCUGGGUUCAUAUUAGUUCAUGAUGCUGAUUUUCUUUAUAGCAGAGAAUUAAGAACCUUGAAUUUUGCUGCUGUUUACCCCUAAUUUCCAAAUGAUCAGUGUUGGCUGCAUAUCAUUCCUCUCUCUAUUUGAUAUGGUCGAAUAUGAGUAUUAGGUAUGGCCGUGUAUAAAAUUAUGGGGAUAUCUUCUUAAGAGAUUCUUCUUGUCAAGCUCUAUUUUUAUAUCUUUGGUUCUCCUUGAAAUAGGUUGAGCUUUGCGAUGAUGACGAGUUUCUUGUUCUAGCUUAUGAUGAGAUGGUUAGUUGGUUUUUCACUUAUUAAUGUGUUUUUUCUCUAUAAUUUGUGAAAUUUACUCUGAAUGCUUUAGGGAUAAUAUUCGAAUCUGUAUUUGUUAA